rnacentral:lncRNA from 1 species
CAGGGGCAGCAACCCAACAACAUAAUGUCCGAUUCAUCUGAAAAUUUCAGGGCAGAUAGAUCUUGACCAGAUGAACUAUUUUACCCCAUGUCAGAUUUGCUCUAAAUGCUUUGGUUUUUGAGUUAUAAGCCAAAAACUGCAUUUUACCCCUAUGUUCUAUUUUUAGCCAUGGCGGCCAUCUUGGUUGGUUGGCCGGGUCACCGGACAAAUUUUUUAAACUAGAUACCCCAAUGAUGAUUGUGGCCAAGUUUGGUUAAAUUUGGCCCAGUAGUUUCAGAGGAGAAGAUUUUUGUAAAAGUUAACGCAGGACGUCGACGACGACGGACGCCGGACGCCGGACGCCAAGUGAUGAGAAAAGCUCACUUGGCCUCUCGGCCAGGUGAGCUAAAAAA